CACGUAGGAGGCGAGCGUUGUCCGGAAUCACUGGGCGUAAAGCGCACGUAGGCGGAUCUUUAAGUCAGGGGUGAAAUCCCAAGGCUCAACCUUGGAACUGCCUUUGAUACUGGGGAUCUCGAGUCCGGAAGAGGUUGGUGGAACUGCGAGUGUAGAGGUGAAAUUCGUAGAUAUUCGCAAGAACACCAGUGGCGAAGGCGGGUCUCUGGACAGUUCCUGACACUGAGGCACGAAGGCCAGGGGAGCAAACGGG
rnacentral:rRNA from 1 species